AACAGGGUGGCAUAGUGGUUUGAGCAUUGGGCUACAGCUCUGGAGACAAGGGUUCGAAUCCCUGCUUGGGCU